AUUAACCUAACACAAGGUCGUGAUGUGUUUCGCUGGAACUUUACUACAUCGGGGUCUUUCACAGUAGACUCUAUGUAUCGUGCACUCAUGCAUUCUGAGGUACCGGUGAGUAAUCAAAAAAAUUGAAAAGCGAAGGUACCACUUAAAGUUAAAAUAUUCAUGUGGUAUCUCCAUAGGGGAGCUGUGCUAACGAAAGACAACCUCACAUGACGCAACUGGUCGGGAAGUAAAAAGUGUUGUUUUUGUACUCAUGUCGAGGCAAUUAAACACCUAUUUUUCCAAUGUAAGUUUGCGCGUUCUACGCGGUCAGCCAUCCAAAUAGCAUCAAAUUUGUAUCCGUCUAGAAGUGUUGCUAAUAUUUUUGGUCACCGACUGGACGGUAUUUCAAAUAGGUACAAAACGCUAAUAAGGGUGGGAGCGUAUGCCUUACUACGGUCGCUUUGGUUAUGUAGAAAUCAUGUUGUUUUUAAUGACAAAAAUGCUUCUCCUUUGCAGGUUAUUUUCCAUUGUAUGCACUCGCUUCGUACAUGGUAUACGCUACAACGAGCGGAGUACCAACCGUUAUUCAAGGCAGUGUGUAUGCUAUUGGAGUAG
rnacentral:rRNA from 1 species